AGGCCCAGACAGCCAGGAUGUUGGCUUAGAAGCAGCCAUCAUUUAAAGAAAGCGUAAUAGCUCACUGGUCGAGUCGGCCUGCGCGGAAGAUGUAACGGGGCUAAACCAUGCACCGAAGCUGCGGCAGCGACACUGUGUGUUGUUGGGUAGGGGAGCGUUCUGUAAGCCUGUGAAGGUGUGUCGUGAGGCAUGCUGGAGGUAUCAGAAGUGCGAAUGCUGACAUAAGUAACGAUAAAGCGGGUGAAAAGCCCGCUCGCCGGAAGACCAAGGGUUCCUGUCCAACGUUAAUCGGGGCAGGGUGAGUCGACCCCUAAGGCGAGGCCGAAAGGCGUAGUCGAUGGGAAACGGGUUAAUAUUCCCGUACUUGGUGUUACUGCGAAGGGGGGACGGAGAAGGCUAUGUUGGCCGGGCGACGGUUGUCCCGGUUUAAGCGUGUAGGUGUGUGUUCCAGGUAAAUCCGGUUCACUUUAACACUGAGGCGUGACGACGAGGCACUACGGUGCUGAAGCAACAAAUGCCCUGCUUCCAGGAAAAGCCUCUAAGCAUCAGGUAACAUCAAAUCGUACCCCAAACCGACACAGGUGGUCAGGUAGAGAAUACCAAGGCGCUUGAGAGAACUCGGGUGAAGGAACUAGGCAAAAUGGUGCCGUAACUUCGGGAGAAGGCACGCUGACACGUAGGUGAAGUGAUUUACUCAUGGAGCUGAAGUCAGUCGAAGAUACCAGCUGGCUGCAACUGUUUAUUAAAAACACAGCACUGUGCAAACACGAAAGUGGACGUAUACGGUGUGACGCCUGCCCGGUGCCGGAAGGUUAAUUGAUGGGGUCAGCGCAAGCGAAGCUCCUGAUCGAAGCCCCGGUAAACGGCGGCCGUAACUAUAACGGUCCUAAGGUAGCGAAAUUCCUUGUCGGGUAAGUUCCGACCUGCACGAAUGGCGUAAUGAUGGCCAGGCUGUCUCCACCCGAGACUCAGUGAAAUUGAACUCGCUGUGAAGAUGCAGUGUACCCGCGGCAAGACGGAAAGACCCCGUGAACCUUUACUAUAGCUUGACACUGAACAUUGAGCCUUGAUGUGUAGGAUAGGUGGGAGGCUUUGAAGUGUGGACGCCAGUCUGCAUGGAGCCGACCUUGAAAUACCACCCUUUAAUGUUUGAUGUUCUAACGUGGACCCGUUACCCGGGUUGCGGACAGUGUCUGGUGGGUAGUUUGACUGGGGCGGUCUCCUCC
rnacentral:rRNA from 1 species